rnacentral:tRNA from 1 species
GAGGGUAUAGCUCAGAAGAGUGUGUGCUUAGCAUGCACAGGGUCCUGGGUUCAAUCCCCAGUACCUCCA